ensembl:lncRNA
CCAGAGUUCUUCUGCAGCUUACAGUGGCUCCAGGAAACCUGCUGAACAAGGGCAGAGAAUUGAGUUCCCUGAGGGUGGCAGAAGAGAGAAGAGGAAGCACCUGCCCAUCAUCAGCCCAGGAGAGGCAUGGAGACUGGUAGGCCUGCCCAGUUUGCUGAAGGUCUUCUUGUGAAGCUAUGACCAGCAGACAAGAAGGUAUCAGACAAAAUGGGCUUUAGCCACCCCUUCGCUCCUGAAGAAGUAGAAAGAGAGACAACGAUUGUAGAGAGCCCAGCUCCAGAGACCACAAGAUGGUUCAGUAGAUCAGUCUCCUAGCUGUGAAUCACAGAAUGUUCUAAG